UACGUAGGGUCCGAGCGUUGUCCGGAAUUAUUGGGCGUAAAGAGCUUGUAGGCGGUUUGUCGCGUCUGCUGUGAAAUUUCGGGGCUCAACCCCGAACUUGCAGUGGGUACGGGCAGACUAGAGUGUGGUAGGGGAGACUGGAAUUCCUGGUGUAGCGGUGAAAUGCGCAGAUAUCAGGAGGAACACCGAUGGCGAAGGCAGGUCUCUGGGCCAUAACUGACGCUGAGAAGCGAAAGCAUGGGGAGCGAACAGG
rnacentral:rRNA from 1 species